rnacentral:rRNA from 1 species
UACGGAGGGGGGCUAGCGUUGUUCGGAAUUACUGGGCGUAAAGCGUACGUAGGCGGUGAUUCAAGUCAGAGGUGAAAGCCCGGAGCUCAACUCCGGAAUUGCCUUUGAAACUAGAUCGCUUGAACGUCGGAGAGGUGAGUGGAAUUCCGAGUGUAGAGGUGAAAUUCGUAGAUAUUCGGAAGAACACCAGUGGCGAAGGCGGCUCACUGGACGACUGUUGACGCUGAGACGCGAAAGCGUGGGUAGCAAACAGG